UACGGGAGGCAGCAGUGGGGAAUAUUGCACAAUGGGCGCAAGCCUGAUGCAGCAACGCCGCGUGAGCGAAGAAGGUCUUCGGAUCGUAAAGCUCUGUCCUCAGGAACGAAGAAGUGACGGUACCUGAGGAGGAAGCCCCGGCUAACUACGUGCCAGCAGCCGCGGUAAU
rnacentral:rRNA from 1 species